rnacentral:tRNA from 1 species
UGAGGUAUGGUGUAAAGGUAGCACAUGGGAUUUUGGUUCCUCUAGUCCAGGUUCGAAUCCUGGUAUCUCAA